rnacentral:rRNA from 1 species
UACGUAGGCAGCAAGCGUUGUUCGGAGUUACUGGGCGUAAAGAGUGCGUAGGCGGUUCUCUAAGUUCGGUGUGAAAUCUCCCGGCUCAACUGGGAGGGUGCGCCGAAGACUGGAGGGCUUGAGUGUGGGAGAGGAAAGCGGAAUUCCUGGUGUAGCGGUGAAAUGCGUAGAUAUCAGGAGGAACACCUGCGGUGUAGACGGCUUUCUAGACCACAACUGACGCUGAGGCACGAAAGCGUGGGUAGCAAACAGG